CACACACACACACACAGCGGCGUCCGGGCGCACAGACAGCUCAGGAGGCGGCUUACCGGCAUCUCUCUUCGACCCGCUCCGUCCCUGCAGGCACCGGACCACAGAUAAAAACAACUACCGGACCGGGACUUCUGACCGACUUCAGCCGCCGGUUCCUUCAAACUCCACUCAUAGGACAAAACAGCUCUGAUAUUGAGUUAUAGGCCUACAACGCGUUAGAGUUUGUAUUAGAUUGUUUGGUGAACUUUUGAGGGUGACAACAGGUGUGUUUCCUUGGUUUACCACUGACCCCUGGACAGUCUAUCGGAUAUAGCCUAACGGUCGGAGCCUAGUGGGAAUAACAACCACAACAGCAACAACAGGAGCAACAACAGCAGCAGAACGAUAUUAGAGCAUUAAAGGCGAGGGUGCCGGACGAAUACGAGAAGUGGAAAAAAGAGCGAGAGAGG
ensembl:lncRNA